AGGAUGAACGCUAGCGGUUUGCCUAACACAUGCAAGUUGCACGGCGCCAUACCUCUCGGGGUAUGGUGCAGUGGCGGACGGGUGAGUAACGCGUAAGGACCUGCCCCUGGGAGGGGGAUAACAGCUGGAAACGGCUGCUAAUACCCCAUAGCCUGAGGAGGGAAAGGAGAGAUCCGCCCAGGGAGGGGCUUGCGUCUGAUUAGCUAGUUGGGAGGGGUAAUGGCCUCCCAAGGCAACGAUCAGUUGCUGGUCUGAGAGGAUGAUCAGCCACACUGGGACUGAGACACGGCCCAGACUCCUACGGGAGGCAGCAGUGAGGAAUCUUCCGCAAUGGGCGAAAGCCUGACGGGGCAAUGCCGCGUGGAGGAUGAAGGCCCAAUGGGUCGUAAACUUCUUUAGAUCAGAGACGAAGAGAUGACGGUACCUGAAGAACUAAGCAUCGGCUAAACCCCGUGCCAGCAGCCGC
rnacentral:rRNA from 1 species